rnacentral:lncRNA from 1 species
UGCAAAUGGUUAAUUUCCCAUUUGGUGAUAGCAGAGUCCAUUAGUUUUCCAGAAUGAUGUACUUUACUCUUCAUAACUGAACGAGUAUGAACAGUCUAAGGGCCAACAUCAGCAGCAAAGCAAGAAGGAAGAAUCGAGAAGCUACCGUUCUAACCAAAAUCAAAAAACCUAAAACUAAAACAUAACAUUUUGUAUUUAUAUUAAACCCACACACCAUACCUAUUUCACUUAACCCGAAUCCGUGUAACAAAUCCAACUAACCCAUAAAACCAUAUUGUACAGCUGUAAUUCUGUUACAUGAGAUAGUAUACAAUACAUUAGGUUCUAGAGUAAAGAAAGAUAGCACACUUGUAAAUAUAAAUAGCACCCAUUGUACAGACUUUGAUGAUAGAGGAGAAAUACACUAAUUCUUCAUUUUGUUUACUUUCUGUUCAUGGUAUCAGAGCCUCCUCUGAUAUCUGAAGUUCUAAAGCUUUCUUCAAGCUUCCUUUCCUGAAAUUAAUGGCAGAAACUUAUAAUCAAAACAAUGAAAACACAAAUGUUGAAUCAGAGACUUAUAAGGUUUCUGCAUCUGAAAAUUCAGCUUCAAACCUCAUUAAUAUUUCCUUGAAUGGCCGGAAUUUCUUGUCAUGGAGCAGAUCUAUGACCAUAGCCUUGAAGGCUAGGGACAAAUAUGAAUUUGUCACUGGUGAAGAACAGGAACCUGCAGCUAGAUCUCCAUUGAGAAAGAGAUGGCAGAGGAUCGAUAAUCUGGUAACAUCUUGGAUCUUGAACUCUAUUUCUAAAGAUCUAGUUGAGGCAUUUUUGUAUUAUCCAAGUUCCAAGGAUCUUUGGAAUGAACUGACCACCAGGUAUGGUGAAUCUAAUGGACCUAUAAUUUACCAAAUAAGGAAAGAUAUUUCAGUAACUACCCAAGGUAACCAAACAGUAGCCAAUUACUACACUAAAUUGAAAAAACUUUGGGAUGAGUUGGCUUGUUUAAGGCCCAUUCCCAAAUGCACCUGUGGAAUUGCAGAAAGGUGUACCUGUGAUGUUGUGAGAGCAGCCUCAGAUCUGGAUGGAGAGGAGAAACUUAUGCAGUUCCUCUUAGGACUGAAUGAUACAUAUGACAAUGUUAAAAAUCAAAUUCUGCUUAUGGUUCCAUUUCCAAGCAUGAGCAAGGCCUAUUCAAUGGUACUAAGUGUUGAAAAACAAAGUGAGGUGAAUACUGCAAUCUAUGACUCAAGUGAGAAUAGCAGUGCAAUGUAUGUGCAAAAAUCAAACUACAACAGCAGAAAUACAAGUAAUAGAUCCAGAUCUAAAGCUGACAAGCACUGUGAUCACUACAAUGGGACUGGCCGCACUAAAGAGACUUGUUGUAAACUAACUGGUUAUCCAGACUGAUUUAUUGAACUCAAAAAGAAGAAGAAAGCUCAAGCACAUUAUGGACAAGUAGAUGAUGAACAAUUGACUGUUAACUCAAGAGACAAUGAGAAUGAUGUAUCCAGAAUGGUGAGAAUGGAGGUCCAGCGUGCAAUCAAAGGCAAGCUGCAGUAUGAUGAUAAGGCAGGGGAUCCACCUACAGCUAAUGCAGUCAGUUUUGCAGGUAUUAUCUUUCAUUUCAUUAUAAUGUGCAUGAUAAGUAUGAAUUAGUUCCAUGGAUUGUUGACACUGGUGCAACUGAUCAUAUGACAUACAUGCAUAAUCUGUUUCAUACAUUAACCAAAUUACCUAAACCUAGAACAGUAACUCUACCUGAUAAUUCCACCAGAACUAUAACGCAUGUUGGCAAGGUCAUAAUACAUGAUAGACCGGUAUUAAAGGACGUGUUAUAUAUACCAACAUUCAAAUGCAAUUUAUUAUCUGCAUCANNNNNNNNNNNNNNNNNNNNNNNNNNNNNNNNNNNNNNNNNNNNNNNNNNNNNNNNNNNCUAUUGGCAAGUUGAAUGGAGGCUUAUAUUUUCUUGAUAAGAAGUGUUUUGUACCUAUUACUACUACUAAAGCUUUACUUACUUGUACUAAACAUGAUGAUCAUUUGAACCUGUUAUGGCACCUUAGAUUGGGUCAUAUUUCUAUGGCUAGACAAAAUCAUGUAAUAAAUUUAGAUACAAACAGUGGUUCUUUUGAAUGUAAUGUUUGCCCUCUUGCAAAGCAAUAAAGAUUGCCAUUUUAUCCAAGUUGUAAUAUUGCUAAAGGCAUGUUUGAUUUAAUACAUAUUGACCUAUGGGGACCCUAUCCUAUCACUUCUUUAACUGGUGACAGAUACAUGAUUACUAUAGUGGAUGACUAUAGUAGAUACACAUGGGCCUACAUGUUACCAAAUAAACAACAAGUCCAUUCAAUUCUUGACCACUUUACUAACCUAAUAGACACCCAGUUUCAUACCAGAAUCAAAACAAUAAGGACUGAUAAUGGCACUGAGUUUGUGAAUCAUGUAGUAAAGACAUUGUUCCUUUCUAAAGGAAUUACACAUAAACUAUCUUGCCCUUAUUCUCCACAGCAAAAUGGGAGAGUGGAGAGAAAACAUAAAGAAAUUUUGAACAUUGGGAGAGCCCUUCUAUUUCAAGCUAAGUUUCCUAAGACCUUUUGGUCUGAGGUUCUCCUAUCUAAUGUUUACGUAACCAAUAGAGUGCCAUCCGCACUCUUAGAAUGGUUAAGCCCUUUUGAAAACCUAAACCAAAUACAACCAGACCUGAAACACUUAAGAGUUAUUGGCUGCCUGUGUUUUGCAACCAAUACUAAACCACACAAAGACAAGUAUGAUCCUAGAGCUAAACCAUGUGUGUUACUGGGUUAUGGGGCUCAACAGAAAGGUUACAAGCUAUAUGACAUGCACUCUAAGCAGAUUUUCUACUCAAGGGACGUUGUGUUCAAGGAAACAGUUUACCCCUUCCAUCACAACACCCCUCUUGAGUCAUGUACAUUUAAGAUACCAGACUUUUUAGAUGACAAUGACCAACAAAUUCCAAAACACACAAACACUAUACCUGAAACCACAAUACCAGCAACAUAUGAAAAUAUGACUACCCUUGACCAAACAAGACAAAUGACUACAACAACACCUGAACCAGAACACCAACAAUACAUACAAAAUAACCAGACAGAAACUGCUCAGACUUUACAACCAGAACAACCAGUUCAACCACUUAGAAGAAGCAUAAGAAAUUCAAGGCAACCAGCUUGGAUGACAGAUUAUGUAACCAAUUGUGCAAAUUCAAAUUCCACACAUUUCCUACCCGACUCACCCUAUUCACAUCCAUAUGCAUCUUUUGCAUCUAAUGUCAACAAAAUUCAUGAACCAUUAUCAUAUAAUCAUGCUAUUUCUAAUGAAAAUUGGGUGCAAGCAAUGCAAACUAAACUAAAAGCUUUAGAAGACAAUGGUACUUGGGUCUUAACUAAGUUACCUAAAGGGAAAAGGGCCAUUGGAUGCAAAUGGGUCUACAGAGUCAAAUACAAAUAGGAUGGGACUGUAGACAGGUAUAAGGCUCGCCUGGUUGCUAAAGGGUUUAGUCAAAAACUGGGCAUUGAUUACAAUGACAGCUUUUCUCCUGUUGCUAAAAUGGUGACUCUGAGGAUCCUGUUUGCCCUAGUAGCUAAAUAUCAAUCGACUCUUCAUCAACUUGAUAUUAACAAUGCCUACCUACAUGGCAAUAUUGAUGAAGAUAUCUACAUGCAACCUCCAGCUGGCUAUUCUAAGGCUUCUACAGGCCAAGCGUGCAAAUUGACUAAGUCACUUUAUGGACUUAAGCAAGCUGGCAGAAUGUGGAACCAGGAGUUGACAAACACAUUGCUCUAGUACGGAUUUCAGUAGUCAGUGAAUGACCACUGCCUAUUCACAAAAAGGGAAGAUAGUGACUUUCUAGUGCUUAUUGUCUAUGUGGAUGACAUUUUAGUUGCUGGGCCUAACAUUCAACUUGUAUGCAACAUUAAGGAGUUUCUACACUCUAAAUUUACUAUAAAGGACCUAGGUGAUGCAAGAUUUUUCUUGGGAAUUGAAAUCCUACGGUCUAUUGAUGGCAUCUACUUAUCACAGUAGAAAUUCAUUCAAGACAUGCUGUUAGAUUCAAACAUGCGGCAAGCAAAACAUUCAUCCACGCCAUUAGUACAAGGUCAAAAGCUUCAAGCAAACAUGGGACCAUUACUCACAGAACCAGACUGUUACAGAAGGUUAGUGGGGAGACUACUUUACCUGAGCUUCACCAGACCAGACAUCACUUACUCAGUACGGCAGUUGUCUCAACACAUGCAAAACCCUUGUCAGGGUCACAUGGUAACUGCUUCUCAUGUUCUCCAUUACUUAGCCUCCACAACAGCUUUGAAAUUGUUCUUCUCUACUUCAUAUACGCUUGAUCUUCAAGCAUACUAUGAUGCUGGCUGGGGGGCUUGCCCUGAAACUUGACUGUCACUCACAGGCUACUGUAUAUUCAUGGGUUCCUCGAUCGUGUCAUGGAAAAUAAAAAAACAACAGGUGGUCAGUUGCUCUUCUGCUGAAGCAGAAUACAGAGCCAUGGCUAAUAUAGUGUCCGAAAUCAUUUGGAUUGACAAAAUACUAAUAGAUCUGCGGGUAAAAGUAAAAACGCCAGUACCUUUAUUCUGCGACAACCAAGCGGUGCUGCACAUUGCCGCCAAUCCUGUUUAUCACGAGCGCACAAAGCAUAUCGACAUCGCCUGCCAUCUCACUCGACCCUAUAUUCAAGCUGGCCUUAUCGACCCAAAGCAUCUCCCUUCAGAGUCACAACUCGCUAACUUCUUCACCAAAUUGUUACCCAUCUCUAGAUUUCGGCUGAUGACUGUCAAGUUGGGCUUGGUUUCGUUACCCCAGCUCCACCUUGAGGGGGGCGUGAAUGAGUAUGAACAGCCUAAGGGCCAACAUCAGUAGUAAAGCAAAAAGGAAGAAUCGAGAAGCUGCCGUUCUAACCAAAAUCAGAAAACCUAAAACUAAAACAUAACAUUUUGUAUUUAUAUUAAACCCACACACCAUACCUGUUUCACUUAACCCGAAUCCGUGUAACAAAUCCAACUAACCCAUUAACCCAUAUUGUACAGCUGUAAUUCUGUUACAUGAGAUAGUAUACAAUACAAUAGGUUCUAGAGUAAGGAAAUACAUCACACUUGUAAAUAUAAAUAGCACCCAUUGUACUGACUUUGAUGAUAGAGGAGAAAUACACAAAUUCUUCAUUUUGUUUACUUUCUGUUCAAUAACCAUCUAACUAAUGCCUGAUUACCCACUAAAAAGAUGUAGAAAAUGAUUUUAAUUGCAUUUGAAUCAAAAUAUAGGAGACUAGCAGCAUGCCUAUGCAUAAUAAAUAUCUUAUCUAUUAUCUUAGAGAUAGUGUAAUAAUAUUUUAAAAUAUAUAAUUUAAAUUAUUGAUAAUUUCAUAUUUGUUAAUUUUGUUGAAA